rnacentral:lncRNA from 13 species
AUGGUAGCAAUAAAUUACCUGUGGAACCAAAAGGAGAAAGAGGCAAAAAUAACUUGGAGCCAAGUCACCAGUCACAAAGGCAAAAAGAAGCUUCCUAAUAUUUUGAUAACUAAUGUGUUCCUCUGCUCACUUUCUAACUGGUCUAACCAAAACCCAACAGUCUUACUGUCAGAUUUAAUGUAUGCCCGCUAUUUCCUUCAGUGCUGCACAGGCUUCUGUGAAGGGGAUGUCACCUUUUCCCUUUUUCCAAGAUGGCUCAAGAUUCAGUAGAUCUUUCUUGUGAUUAUCAGUUCUGGAUGCAGAAGCUUUCUGUAUGGGAUCAGGCUUCCACUUUGGAAACUCAGCAAGACACCUGUCUUCACCUGGCUCAGUUCCAGGAGUUCCUGAGGAAGAUGUAUGAAGCCUUGAAAGAGAUGGAUUCUAAUACAGUUAUUGAAAGAUUCCCCACAAUUGGUCAACUAUUGGCAAAAGCUUGUUGGAAUCCUUUUAUUUUAGCAUAUGAUGAAAGCCAAAAAAUUCUAAUAUGGUGCUUAUGUUGUCUGAUUAACAAAGAACCACAGAAUUCUGGACAAUCAAAACUUAACUACUGGAUACAGGGUUUAUUAUCUCAUAUACUUUCAGCACUCAGAUUUGAUAAAGAAGUUGCUCUUUUCACUCAAGGUCUUGGAUAUGCACCUAUAGAUUACUAUCCUGGUUUGCUUAAAAAUAUGGUUUUAUCAUUAGCAUCUGAACUCAGAGAGAAUCAUCUUAAUGGAUUUAACACUCAAAGGCGAAUGGCUCCCGAACGAGUGGCAUCCCUGUCACGAGUUUGUGUCCCACUUAUUACCCUGCCAGAUGUCGACCCCCUGGUGGAGGCUUUGCUCAUCUGUCAUGGACAUGAACCUCAGGAAAUCCUCCAGCAAGAGUUCUUUGAGGCUGUAAACGAGGCCAUUUUGCUGAAGAAGAUUUCUCUCCCCGUGUCAGCUGUAGUCUGCCUCUGGCUUCGGCACCUUCCCAGCCUUGAAAAAACAAUGCUGCAUCUUUUUGAAAAGCUAAUCUCCAGUGAGAGAAAUUGUCUGAGAAGGAUCGAAUGUUUUAUAAAAGAUUCAUUGCUGUCUCAAGCAGCCUGCCACCCUGCCAUAUUCCGGGUUGUUGAUGAGAUAUUCAGGUGUGCACUCCUGGAAACCGAUGGGGCCCCAGAAGUCAUAGCCACUAUUCAAGUGUUUACACAGUGCUUUGUAGAAGCUCUGGAGAAAGAAAACAAGCAGCUGCAGUUUACACUCAAGACCUACUUUCCGUACACUUCUCCAUCUCUUGCCACGGUGCUGCUACAAGACCCUCAAGGUAUCCCUCAGGGACAGUGGCUCCAGACAUUGAAGCACAUUUCUGAACUGCUCAGAAAAGCGGUUGAAGAUCAGACUCACGGGUCCUGCAGAGGUCCCUUUGAGAGCUGGUUCUUGUUCAUUCACUUUGGAGGAUGGGCUGAGAUGGCAGCCGAGCAGUUACUGAUGUCAGCAGCUGAACCCCCCACGGCCGUGCUGUGGCUCUUGGCCUUCUACUACGGCCCUUGUGAUGGGAGGCAGCAGAGAACACAGACCAUGGUCCAGGUAAAGGCUGUGCUGGGCCACCUCCGGGCGAUGUGCAGAAGCACCACCCUCUCUGCCAAGGACCUCCAGACGGCAGCGGGACAGGGCACAGACACAGACCCCAGAGCUCCUGCACAACAGCUGAUCAGGCACCUUCUCCUCAACUUCCUGCUCUGGGCUCCUAGAGGCCACAUGAUUGCCCGGGAUGCCAUCACUCUGAUGGCUCACACUGCUGAGAUAACUCAUGAGAUCAUUGGCUUUCUUGACCAGACCUUGUACAGAUGGGAUCGUCUUGGUAUUGAAAGCCCUAGAUCAGGAAAACUGGCCCGAGAACUCCUUAAAGAGCUGCAAACUCAAGUCUAG